AUGGAUGAGGUCACAAGGGGUAUACAAGGAGAUAUCCCAUGGUGUAUGCUCUUUGCGGAUGAUGUGGUGCUAGUUGACGAUAGUCGGACGGGGGUAAAUAGGAAGUUAGAGUUAUGGAGACAAACCUUGGAAUCGAAAGGGUUUAGGCUUAGUAGAACUAAAACCGAGUACAUGAUGUGCGGUUUCAGUACUACUAGCUGUGAGGAGGAGGAGGUUAGCCUUGAUGGCCAGGUGGUACCUCGGCAGGACACCUUUCGGUAUUUGGGGUCAAUGUUGCAGGAGGAUGGGGGUAUUGAUGAAGAUGUGAACCAUCGAAUCAAAGCCGGAUGGAUGAAGUGGCGCCAAGCUUCUGGCAUUCUCUGUGACAAGAGAGUGCCACAAAAGCUAAAAGGCAAGUUCUACAGGACGGCGGUUCGACCCGCAAUGUUGUAUGGCGCGGAGUGUUGGCCGACUAAAAGGCGACAUGUUCAACAGUUAGGUGUGGCGGAGAUGCGUAUGUUGAGAUGGAUGUGUGGCCACACGAGGAAGGAUCGAGUCCGGAAUGAUAAUAUACGAGAUAGAGUUGGGGUAGCACCAAUUGAGGAGAAGCUUGUCCAACAUCGUUUGAGAUGGUUUGGACAUAUUCAGCGCAGGCCUCCAGAAGCUCCAGUGCAUAGCGGACGGCUAAAGCGUGCGGAGAAUGUCAAGAGAGGGCGGGGUCGACCGAUUUUGACAUGGGAGGAGUCCGUUAAGAGAGACCUGAAGGAUUGGAGUAUCGACAAAGAGCUAGCUAUGGACAGGGGUGCGUGA
rnacentral:rRNA from 1 species